ACUCCUACGGGAGGCAGCAGUGGGGAAUAUUGCACAAUGGGCGCAAGCCUGAUGCAGCCAUGCCGCGUGUAUGAAGAAGGCCUUCGGGUUGUAAAGUACUUUCAGCAGUGAGGAAGGUGGGUAUGUUAAUAGCAUAUUCAUUUGACGUUAGCUGCAGAAGAAGCACCGGCUAACUCCGUGCCAGCAGCCGCGGUAAUACGGAGGGUGCGAGCGUUAAUCGGAAUUACUGGGCGUAAAGCGCAUGCAGGUGGUUUGUUAAGUCAGAUGUGAAAGCCCGGGGCUCAACCUCGGAAUUGCAUUUGAAACUGGCAAACUAGAGUACUGUAGAGGGGGGUAGAAUUUACCGGUGUAGCGGUGAAAUGCGUAGAGAUCUGAAGGAAUACCGGUGGCGAAGGCGGCCCCCUGGACAGAUACUGACACUCAGAUGCGAAAGCGUGGGGAGCAAACAGGAUUAGAUACCCUGGUAGCUCUGC
rnacentral:rRNA from 1 species